GCGGCGUGCCUAAUACAUGCAAGUCGAGCGAACAGACGAGGUUCUUGCUCCUCUGACGUUAGCGGCGGACGGGUGAGUAACACGUGGAUAACCUACCUAUAAGACUGGGAUAACUUCGGGAAACCGGAGCUAAUACCGGAUAACAUGUUGAACCGCAUGGUUCAACAGUGAAAGACGGUCUUGCUGUCACUUAUAGAUGGAUCCGCGCCGCAUUAGCUAGUUGGUAAGGUAACGGCUUACCAAGGCAACGAUGCGUAGCCGACCUGAGAGGGUGAUCGGCCACACUGGAACUGAGACACGGUCCAGACUCUUACGGGAGGCAGCAGUAGGGAAUCUUCCGCAAUGGGCGAAAGCCUGACGGAGCAACGCCGCGUGAGUGAUGAAGGUCUUCGGAUCGUAAAACUCUGUUAUUAGGGAAGAACAAAUGUGUAAGUAACUAUGCACGUCUUGACGGUACCUAAUCAGAAAGCCACGGCUAACUACGUGCCAGCAGCCGCGGUAAUACGUAGGUGGCAAGCGUUAUCCGGAAUUAUUGGGCGUAAAGCGCGCGUAGGCGGUUUUUUAAGUCUGAUGUGAAAGCCCACGGCUCAACCGUGGAGGGUCAUUGGAAACUGGAAAACUUGAGUGCAGAAGAGGAAAGUGGAAUUCCAUGUGUAGCGGUGAAAUGCGCAGAGAUAUGGAGGAACACCAGUGGCGAAGGCGACUUUCUGGUCUGUAACUGACGCUGAUGUGCGAAAGCGUGGGGAUCAAAACAGGGAUUAGAUACCCUGGUAGUCCACGCCGUAAACGAUGAGUGCUGAGUGUUAGGGGGUUUCCGCCCCUUAGUGCUGCAGCUAACGCAUUAAGCACUCCGCCUGGGGAGUACGACCGCAAGGUUGAAACUCAAAGGAAUUGACGGGGACCCGCACAAGCGGUGGAGCAUGUGGUUUAAUUCGAAGCAACGCGAAGAACCUUACCAAAUCUUGACAUCCUCUGACUCCUCUAGAGAUAGAGUUUUCCCCUUCGGGGGACAGAGUGACAGGUGGUGCAUGGUUGUCGUCAGCUCGUGUCGUGAGAUGUUGGGUUAAGUCCCGCAACGAGCGCAACCCUUAAGCUUAGUUGCCAUCAUUAAGUUGGGCACUCUAAGUUGACUGCCGGUGACAAACCGGAGGAAGGUGGGGAUGACGUCAAAUCAUCAUGCCCCUUAUGAUUUGGGCCACACACGUACUACAAUGGACAAUACAAAGGGUAGCGAAACCGCGAGGUCAAGCAAAUCCCAUAAAGUUGUUCUCAGUUCGGAUUGUAGUCUGCAACUCGACUAUAUGAAGAUGGAAUCGCUAGUAAUCGUAGAUCAGCAUGCUACGGUGAAUACGUUCCCGGGUCUUGUACACACCGCCCGUCACACCACGAGAGUCUGUAACACCCGAAGCCGGUGGAGUAACCCUUUGGAGCUAGCCGUCGAAGGUGGGACAAAUGAUUGGGG
rnacentral:rRNA from 1 species